CAUGCAACUCUCCCUACUUCGUUCCAAAAAAAACCUUAACAUUUUCUCUCUUGAGCAAUAAAAUCCAAUAGGGUGCUCUCUCUCUCUCUCUUUUGACAUGAUUGAACUCUCUCUUGGGGUAUAAAUACGUAGCAUAGUUGAAGACCCCUAUUUAAAGGAUGGCUCACUUAAGGCCACACCCAUGUCCAAAGUUGGAUAAAGCCCUGAAAAUUCAUCCUAAUCCUUGUCAUAAGAAGGCCUUGAGGAAUUGCACUCUUUCUAGAGCGAGAGAGGCCUUGAAAACUUCAUGUAUUUUUGUAGAGAAGAAACCGUUGAAAACUUGCACUAGUCAUAGAGAGCAGAAGAACAGUGGUUCUAGAGAGAGGGGGAAGGGGGGGCUGUUUGGAUGGGCACCAGCUUUAAUCCUCAAAAAUGGGGGGAGAGAGAUGGGGAGCAAGAAGGGGGUGAGGGCAUUUUGGUCACAGGAGAAAGUUGCUCUGGAGAAUGGGUAUGUGUUGAGAGGGUGCUAUGGGUGGAAUGUGAGGUGUUUGGAGUUCGAGGAGAAUGAGAUGAGGAGGGUGGCUGAAGUUCAAGCAAAGGCCUUUCAUGUGCCCAUGCCCUUUUUCAAUGACUUCUUCUUUCACUUGUUUGAGGCUGACGUGCUUGCUGGUCUUUUCUACAAGAUUAGAAAUUCAGCACCGAAUAGGUAUGCUUGUUUGGUAGCUGAGCCUGAAGUUGCUUCUUCAACCUCACAGCGGAGACUCGUGGGUGUGGUCGAUGUCACAGUCUUGAGAGAUGAAGCAGUUUUGAGGUACCUCGAAGGAGCAGAAGAAUACCUCUAUGUGUCGGGGAUAGCGGUCGUGACAGGAUUCAGUGGAGACAUGGGGCCUCCCAGCUUCAAGCAUUCGGACCACCUAUGGAGACAUUUCAAGGGGGCCUGUAAUGAUAGUAGGAAAGCAUUGUGUUGAUCAGCACACCAGUAUUCACCCUUCACAUGCUGAGCUGACACAAUCCAUUCUCCAUAGCUUCUCUCCCAAGGUGCUCAUGGGCCACAGGUGCUCCAUCCAAAACCUGUCUUCCUCAAAGUCACUUUGCACCAGGGGGAUGCCACCUCCAUCUUGAACACUUCAAACAUGACUGACUGGCCGAAAGCAAAGGCGGCGCAAGGUGGCUACAGCAUUGCUCAAGGCAUGCGAUGUGCUCUCUCGACUAUGGGGUUUUGAAUGCCUUGCACUCAGAGCUUAC